rnacentral:rRNA from 1 species
ACAACUUUCAGCAACGGAUCUCUUGGCUCUCGCAUCGAUGAAGAACGCAGCGAAUUGCGAUAAGUAAUGUGAAUUGCAGAUUUUCAGUGAAUCAUCGAAUCUUUGAACGCACCUUGCGCUCCUUGGUAUUCCGAGGAGCAUGCCUGUUUGAGUG